CCCUUAGAUGUUCUGGGCCGCACGCGCGCUACACUGAUGCAUUCAACGAGUUUCUUCCUGGUCCGAGAGGAUUGGGUAACCUUUUGAAAGUGCAUCGUGAUAGGGAUAGACUAUUGCAAUUAUUGGUCUUCAACGAGGAAUUCCUAGUAGACGUAGUUCAUCAGACUGCAUCGAUUACGUCCCUGCCCUUUGUACACACCGCCCGUCGCUCCUACCGAUUGAAUGCUCAGGUGAGCCAUUCGGACUUUCAUCAUGCUGGUUUCCAGUUUUGAUGAAGGAAAGUCUUGCGAACCUUAUCAUUUAGAGGAAGGAGAAGUCGUAACA
rnacentral:rRNA from 1 species